rnacentral:rRNA from 1 species
AAGGUGGCCUGUGAGGGUUGCUGGAGGUAUCAGAAGUGCGAAUGCUGACAUAAGUAACGAUAAAGCGGGUGAAAAGCCCGCUCGCCGGAAGACCAAGGGUUCCUGUCCAACGUUAAUCGGGGCAGGGUGAGUCGACCCCUAAGGCGAGGCCGAAAGGCGUAGUCGAUGGGAAACGGGUUAAUAUUCCCGUACUUGGUGUUACUGCGAAGGGGGGACGGAGAAGGCUAUGUUGGCCGGGCGACGGUUGUCCCGGUUUAAGCGUGUAGGUGUGUGUUCCAGGUAAAUCCGGUUCACUUUAACACUGAGGCGUGACGACGAGGCACUACGGUGCUGAAGCAACAAAUGCCCUGCUUCCAGGAAAAGCCUCUAAGCAUCAGGUAACAUCAAAUCGUACCCCAAACCGACACAGGUGGUCAGGUAGAGAAUACCAAGGCGCUUGAGAGAACUCGGGUGAAGGAACUAGGCAAAAUGGUGCCGUAACUUCGGGAGAAGGCACGCUGACACGUAGGUGAAGUGAUUUACUCAUGGAGCUGAAGUCAGUCGAAGAUACCAGCUGGCUGCAACUGUUUAUUAAAAACACAGCACUGUGCAAACACGAAAGUGGACGUAUACGGUGUGACGCCUGCCCGGUGCCGGAAGGUUAAUUGAUGGGGUCAGCGCAAGCGAAGCUCCUGAUCGAAGCCCCGGUAAACGGCGGCCGUAACUAUAACGGUCCUAAGGUAGCGAAAUUCCUUGUCGGGUAAGUUCCGACCUGCACGAAUGGCGUAAUGAUGGCCAGGCUGUCUCCACCCGAGACUCAGUGAAAUUGAACUCGCUGUGAAGAUGCAGUGUACCCGCGGCAAGACGGAAAGACCCCGUGAACCUUUACUAUAGCUUGACACUGAACAUUGAGCCUUGAUGUGUAG